GACGAACGCUGGCGGCGUGCUUAACACAUGCAGGUCGAACGGAAAGGCCUGCUUUCCCUUGUGGAUUGCGGGUACUCGAGUGGCGAACGGGUGAGUAACACGUGAGUGAUCUGCCCCCAACUUGGGUAUAAGCCUGGGAAACUGGGUCUAAUUCCCGAUAGGACUGCAGGGUGGUGCCUGUGGUGGAAAACGAUUUUCUAGUGGUUGGGGAUGAGCUCGCGGCCUAUCAGCUUGUUGGUGGGGUAAUGGCCUACCAAGGCGGCGACGGGUAGCCGGCCUGAGAGGGUGGACGGCCACAUUGGGACUGAGAUACGGCCCAGACUCCUACGGGAGGCAGCAGUGGGGAAUAUUACACAAUGGGCGGAAGCCUGAUGCAGCGACGCCGCGUGGGGGAUGACGGCCUUCGGGUUGUAAACUCCUUUCGACCGCGAGGAAGCCACCUGGUUGGAAGGGUGGUGACGGUAGUGGUAGAAGAAGCACCGGCUAACUACGUG
rnacentral:rRNA from 1 species